UCCAAACCAACUAAUCAAUUAGUUAUAUUAGCCUUUGAGCAUAUUUCAAUGAUAUUAUUAAGUGUUCUAUACCUAGUUACCAAAGAACUAAACAUUUUAUAAUAAAACUUGAUUCGCCAAGUUAAAUACAGGUACUCUCAUUUGAUAGUUUCUAUGUUAUACUUACUCGUCUAAGCCUUAGAUUUUAAUUUCCCCCUAACAAUAUUUUUAUCAAAUUCAUAAGUCAACCAACAUAAUUAUUAACUAAUAUUAAAUUUUCUAAUUAUAACUAAUAUUCAUGAAAUGUAUUUAGCAAUAUUCAAAAUUAAUCGUCUCGUACAAUAUGCUCUUAACUAAUUCCUAAUAAGAA
rnacentral:lncRNA from 1 species